GCGGGGCCUCACGCGGCGCUCUGUUGUCCCCGCAGAGGACGAGAUGUUCUCGGACAUCUACAAGAUCCGCGAGGUGGCGAACGGCCUGUGCCUCGAAGUGGAGGGCAAGAUGGUCACCAGGACAGAGGGUCAAAUUGAUGACUCUCUAAUUGGUGGCAAUGCCUCUGCCGAAGGUCCUGAGGGAGAUGGAACAGAAGCCACGGUCAUCACCGGCGUCGACAUAGUGAUCAACCACCACCUCCAGGAAACCAGCUUCACAAAAGAGUCCUACAAGAAGUACAUCAAGGACUACAUGAAAGCAAUCAAAGCCAGACUUGAGGAACAUAAGCCAGAGAGAGUAAAGCCUUUCAUGACGGGAGCUGCAGAACAAAUCAAACACAUUCUUGCCAACUUCAAAAACUACCAGUAACAUGUUUCUUUGAAGUUCUUUGUAGGUGAGAACAUGAAUCCAGAUGGUAUGGUGGCUCUCCUGGAUUUCCGUGAGGAUGGCGUGACCCCAUAUAUGAUUUUCUUUAAGGAUGGCUUAGAAAUAGAGAAAUGUUAACGAAUCAAACAGUCUGAUUUUUGGAUCACCCGUCGUCAUAGCUGGCUGCUGUUUCUUCUUCAUCAGCACAACACCAGGACUCGGCAAUGUCUAACAACUGGACUGAUGUCAUCUUGAGCUUUAUUCACUUAUUUUGACCCUGAUUUGGAGUGGAGGCAUUGUUUUAAAAAGAAAACAAAACCAAACAUCUGUCAUGUAGGUUGUCUAAAAUAAAACUCAUUUAAACCCA